CCUACGGGUGGCAGCAGUGAGGAAUAUUGGUCAAUGGCCGGAAGGCUGAACCAGCCAUGCCGCGUGAAGGUCAGUGCCCUAUGGGCGUUAAACUUCUUUUGUGCGGGAGCAAUAAUGGUCACGUGUGGCCAGACGAGAGUACCGUACGAAUAAGCAUCGGCUAACUCCGGGCCAGCAGCCGCGGUAAUACGGGGGAUGCAAGCGUUAUCCGGAUUUAUUGGGUUUAAAGGGUGCGUAGGCUGUGAGGUAAGUCAGCGGUGAAAUGCCCCCGCUCAACGGGGUGAAGUGCCAUUGAUACUGCCUGGCUGGAAUGCGGAUGCCGUGGGAGGAAUGUGUGGUGUAGCGGUGAAAUGCAUAGAUAUCACACAGAACACCGAUUGCGAAGGCAUCUCACGAAUCCGCGAUUGACGCUGAUGCACGAAAGCGUGGGUAUCAAACAGGAUUAGAUACCCUAGUAGUC
rnacentral:rRNA from 1 species